rnacentral:tRNA from 1 species
UCCCUGAUAGCGCAGUUGGUAGAGCAAUCGGCUGUUAACCGAUCGGUCGUAGGUUCGAGUCCUACUCAGGGAGCCA